CUCCGUCUCUAAAGCAGAACAGAAUCGGGAUGGUCGGACUCGGAGAUUGGUGCAUGCUUCUUGCGGUGCAAUCAGAGCCGUAUAUGGAGCUCAGCUAUCGCCCUGGGAUGAGAAACCUUAUGAGAUUCUGCCAAGUGGGAAAAAGGCCUACUUGGAUGAGCAAGAUGUGGUGACAUUUCUUGAUCCUCCAAAAGAAUUGAUUCCUCUCGACCCUGGGUCUUACAAUCCAGCUGCAUAUCUAUGGAAAAAAAUUGAAGACAUUCCGGAAGAAAGGCGUCCUAGAUUGCUGACCUUGCUAAAACCUAGGCUUAUAUCAAGAGCUUGGCAGAUAGCUGGCACCCGCUAUGAGGAUCCUCAGUUAGCUAGGAAAUGUGCAUCCAACUUGUUAUGUUCUGAAGAAAAGGAACCAUCACUAGAAUUCUAUAAUUGCCAAAGCAGUGGAGGACCUUGGCCUAUUGCUUGGAUGAAAUCCUUCAAGAAGGCUAUAUUCCAUUGUGAUAAUGGAAAGACUUAUGGGAGAUUGAUUGGUGGGUCACCUCUGGCACAAAUUACAAAUACCUGUAGUCCAUUGUAUUUUAUGGUAGUGCAAUGUGGGGAAGUAAUGUCAACAGAGCAGCCUUGUGAUCUAGCAUAUGAAUUGGGGGAUGGGCACCUGAAUCUCCAUAACUAUCCUCAAGGUUUUCCAAUACCAGCAAAGCAUCCAUAUCCAUUCUAUGAUCAGGUUGUUAUAUAUGUUCGUCAUGUUGGACCUGGGGUGUCAGUGGCGCAAGCAUGGCAAGAAGGAAAGGAAUUACAGCAAGUGCCUAGGAAGCUAUGCGGGGAGAUUUUAAUGGUUAAAGAUUAUGCUGCAUCUGCAGUAGGUCGCUGAAGAAAUCUCCUGUCUUUCCUGUUUUCACUACUAUGCUGAUUCGUUGNNNNNAAAUUUUCCGAGUAUACAAGUAGAGAAUUACUUGAAGACAUGCAUGGCAAGGUUUUGAAAUGGACAUGUUUCCUGCCAAGGCUUUGAAAGACAUGUUCAGCAUAAACUAGGAAGGGGAAUAGCUCGACAUAUUUGAAUGUCUUCCUGGAUUAGAUGUGAAAACUGUGCAGUCAAAAGAUCUAUUUUCCCCAAAAUCUACAUCCAUUUGUCACCGAAGGUCAUCAUUUUUGGAGUGGACAUUUAUGCCUCUCGUAGAUACGGUGGUGGACAUUUGCCUAAAUGUUUGUGGUGAAUAAUUUUUAAAACACAUGACUGAUGGAAGUAGUGAAGGUUAAAAUGAGCCUCUGAAGGCCAGUUGGCUGCUCAGCUCGUAUCUAUUAUCAUCGUCAUUCCUUGGA
rnacentral:misc_RNA from 1 species